UCGAGAAUAAUUCACAAUGGGGGCAACCCUGAUGGUGCAACGCCGCGUGGAGGAUGAAGGCCCUAGGGUCGUAAACUCCUGUCAUUUGAGAGUAAGACCUGGCGGUUAAUAGCCGACAGGGUUGAUAGUAUCAGAAGAGGAAGGGACGGCUAACUUCGUGCCAGCAGCCGCGGUAAUACGAAGGUCCCGAGCGUUGUUCGGAAUCACUGGGCGUAAAGGGAGCGUAGGCGGUUUGGUAAGUCAGAUGUGAAAUCCCGGGGCUCAACCUCGGAACUGCAUCCGAUACUGCCUGACUUGAGUAAUGGAGGGGUAGCUGGAAUUCUCGGUGUAGCAGUGAAAUGCGUGGAUAUCGAGAGGAACACCCAUGGCGAAGGCAAGCUACUGGACAUUUACUGACGCUGAGGCUCGAAGGCCAGGGUAGCGAAAGGGAUUAGAUACCCCCGUAGUCC
rnacentral:rRNA from 1 species